UUUCCGUAGGUGAACCUGCGGAAGGAUCAUUAAUGAGUUGUCAUGGGGUUCGAUGCUGGCAGCCAGUUUUUGGAUGCAUGUGCUUGCCCUAACAAUCAUCUUCUUCCAAACACCUGUGCACAUUUUUGAGGGAGUCUUGAGUUGGUUGCCGCUCUUGGGUAAUUUUCUCACAUUCCCUUAAAUCAUUAUAUGCUAUUAACAAUGUUGAACGUGCUCUGUGCCGCAAGGCCAUUAAUAUAAUACAACUUUUAACAACGGAUCUCUUGGCUCUC
rnacentral:misc_RNA from 1 species